UACAGAGGGUGCAAGCGUUGUUCGGAAUUAUUGGGCGUAAAGAGCGUGUAGGCGGUUCGGUAAGUCUGCCGUGAAAACCUGGGGCUUAACUCUGGGCGUGCGGUCGAUACGGGCAUCACUAGAGUUCGGCAGGGGAGACUGGAAUUCCUGGUGUAGCGGUGAAAUGCGUAGAUAUCGGGAGGAACACCAGUGGCGAAGGCGACUACCUGGCCUGUUCUUGACGCUGAGGCGCGAAAGCUAGGGGAGCAAACGGG
rnacentral:rRNA from 1 species